CUCGAUUGCAAAAUUAAACGCUCAAUUCAUAAACCGCAUUCACAUUCCUCUCCGACAGAAGAUGCAAAUCUUAGCAAAAAGGGUUUGCAGGCUGCCAGAAUUUGACAAAAAUUGCAGAGUUCUAAGAACUCUUUUAAGAUUGGACCACCCAAUCUUAAAUAAGGAUCUGUAGGUCGGCUAAACCAACAGACAAGUCACAGGAAUAACAUGAAGCUUUGUUUUAAUUAAUUCGCUGCUGCUUUCAACUUUCAUGGGAUAACGACUGCUU
rnacentral:misc_RNA from 1 species